GAUGAACGCUGGCGGCGUGCCUAAUACAUGCAAGUCGAGCGAACAGAUAAGGAGCUUGCUCCUUUGACGUUAGCGGCGGACGGGUGAGUAACACGUGGGUAACCUACCUAUAAGACUGGGAUAACUUCGGGAAACCGGAGCUAAUACCGGAUAACAUUUGGAACCGCAUGGUUCUAAAGUGAAAGAUGGUUUUGCUAUCACUUAUAGAUGGACCCGCGCCGUAUUAGCUAGUUGGUAAGGUAACGGCUUACCAAGGCAACGAUACGUAGCCGACCUGAGAGGGUGAUCGGCCACACUGGAACUGAGACACGGUCCAGACUCCUACGGGAGGCAGCAGUAGGGAAUCUUCCGCAAUGGGCGAAAGCCUGACGGAGCAACGCCGCGUGAGUGAUGAAGGGGUUCGGCUCGUAAAACUCUGUUAUUAGGGAAGAACAAACGUGUAAGUAACUGUGCACGUCUUGACGGUACCUAAUCAGAAAGCCACGGCUAACUACGUG
rnacentral:rRNA from 1 species